rnacentral:rRNA from 1 species
GCACGAAAACUUUACAAUGCUGGCAACAGCGAUAAGGGAACCUCGAGUGCCAGGUUACAAAUCUGGCUGUCGAGAUGCCUAAAAAGCAUUUCAUAGCAAGGGCCGGGCAAGACCGAUGCCAGCCGCCGCGGUAACACCGGCGGCUCGAGUGGUAACCGUUAUUAUUGGGUCUAAAGGGUCUGUAGCCGGCCGGAUAAGUCUCUUGAGAAAUCUGGCAGCUUAACUGUCAGGCUUUCAGGAGAUACUGUCUGGCUCGAGGCCGGGAGAGGUGAGAGGUACUUCAGGGGUAGGGGUGAAAUCUUGUAAUCCUUGAAGGAUCACCAGUGGCGAAGGCGUCUCACCAGAACGGACCUGACGGCAAGGGACGAAAGCUAGGGGCACGAACCG